GGUUAAGCGACUAAGCGUACACGGUGGAUGCCCUGGCAGUCAGAGGCGAUGAAGGGCGUGCUAAUCUGCGAUAAGCGCCGGUAAGGUGAUAUGAACCGUUAUAACCGGCGAUACCCGAAUGGGGAAACCCAGUGUGACUCGUCACACUAUCAUUAACUGAAUCCAUAGGUUAAUGAGGCGAACCGGGGGAACUGAAACAUCUAAGUACCCCGAGGAAAAGAAAUCAACCGAGAUUCCCCCAGUAGCGGCGAGCGAACGGGGAGGAGCCCAGAGCCUGAAUCAGCAUGUGUGUUAGUGGAAGCGUCUGGAAAGGCGCGCGAUACAGGGUGACAGCCCCGUACACAAAAGCGCAUGUGCUGUGAGCUCGAUGAGUAGGGCGGGACACGUGGUAUCCUGUCUGAAUAUGGGGGGACCAUCCUCCAAGGCUAAAUACUCCUGACUGACCGAUAGUGAACCAGUACCGUGAGGGAAAGGCGAAAAGAACCCCGGCGAGGGGAGUGAAAAAGAACCUGAAACCGUGUACGUACAAGCAGUGGGAGCACAGGUUUACCUGUGUGACUGCGUACCUUUUGUAUAA
rnacentral:rRNA from 1 species